rnacentral:rRNA from 1 species
UAGGGAAUAUUGCGCAAUGGGCGAAAGCCUGACGCAGCAACGCCGCGUGGGUGAUGAAGCUUCUUGGAGUGUAAAACCCUGUCAGUGGGGAAGAAACGUAUCGGGAGUCACUGCCCGGUACCUGACGGUACCCACAGAGGAAGUCCCGGCUAACUCCGUGCCAGCAGCCGCGGUAAUACGGGGGGGACAAGCGUUGUUCGGAUUCACUGGGCGUAAAGGGCGCGUAGGCGGGCCUUCAAGUCAGGUGUGAAAACUGGCAGCUCAACUGCCAGCUUGCACUUGAUACUGUCGGUCUUGAGUACAGGAGGGGAAAGUGGAAUUCCAGGUGUAGCGGUGAAAUGCGUAGAUAUCUGGAAGAACACCGGUAGCGAAGGCGACUUUCUGGCCUGAUACUGACGCUGAAGCGCGAAGGCUAGGGUAGCAAACA